UACGAAGGGGGCUAGCGUUGCUCGGAAUCACUGGGCGUAAAGCGCACGUAGGCGGACUUUUAAGUCAGGGGUGAAAUCCUGGAGCUCAACUCCAGAACUGCCUUUGAUACUGGAAGUCUUGAGUUCGAGAGAGGUGAGUGGAACUGCGAGUGUAGAGGUGAAAUUCGUAGAUAUUCGCAAGAACACCAGUGGCGAAGGCGGCUCACUGGCCCGGUACUGACGCUGAGGCACGAAAGCGUGGGGAGCAAACAGG
rnacentral:rRNA from 1 species